rnacentral:lncRNA from 1 species
GGGAGCUCUUAUUACUUUUUGAGUGUCAGCAAGGAGAGAAUGGAGUUGCAGCAGACUGCUCAGGAAUUGUACAUCACCAGUAGCUUCCGUCUCAGCUAAGUGUGGGAGACUGAUACUGAUGAGCCAUUAACAAUGGUGGAGAUUCUGAAUCACUGAAGCACUUGAUAAAAGAAAUGUCCUGGGUGAUGUGAAAAUCUACAUAUGCCCAUGAGAGUAUAUUGAGUUUGUAAGUGUUGUUGCUUAGGGUGUCACAGAGAAGUUUAUGAGAAACUAUUUUGGAGUAAUAAACAACACAGAAGAACACAGUUUCAGCCUGAAAUGGCUUAUUUAGCCACUGACCAUCAGAAACAAUUACUUUUUCCUUAACCUAGAUUUGUAAUAGCAGGACGCAUUGAAUUCCUUCAUUGAAGUGAAACCUUCGCAAAUCUUUAAGUAGUACUCUAAAGUGACAAAAGGUGUUUACAUUUACUAAUGUAAAUUUCUUGUGGAGAUAAAGUUUUUAUUCUUCU